rnacentral:rRNA from 1 species
UGGGGAAUUUUGCACAAUGGACGCAAGUCUGAUGCAGCGACGCCGCGUGAGGGAUGUAGGCCUUCGGGUUGUGAACCUCUUUCGCUCAUGGUCAAGCCGCAGCUUUGGGUUGUGGUGAGGGUAGUGGGUAAAGAAGCGCCGGCUAACUACGUGCCAGCAGCCGCGGNAAUACGUAGGGCGCGAGCGUUGUCCGGAAUUAUNGNGCGUAAAGGGCUUGUAGGCGGUUGGUCGCGUCUGCCGUGAAAUCCUCUGGCUUAACUGGGGGCGUGCGGUGGGUACGGGCUGGCUUGAGUGCGGUAGGGGNNACNNGAAAUCCUGGUGUAGCGGUGGAAUGCGCAGAUAUCAGGAGGAACACCGGUGGCGAAGGCGGGUCUCUGGGCCGUUACUGACGCUGAGGAGCGAAAGCGUGGGGAGCGAACAGGAUUAGAUACCCUGGUAGUCCACGCUGUAAACGUUGGGCACUAGGUGUGGGGGCCACCCGUGGUUUCUGCGCCGUAGCUAACGCUUUAAGUGCCCCGCCUGGGGAGUACGGCCGCAAGGCUAA